ensembl:lncRNA ZPLD2P zona pellucida like domain containing 2, pseudogene
AAAGCAGUUCCUGCCGGGCAGGCUGGGUAGCCGGACUCCCAGCUGCGCCGUCUUCACGGAAGCGGUGCUGAUGCGGGACCUGGGGGACUGCGGUGCUGGGGACUGGCCAGUCCUACCGGGGGCGGGGCUUGUGGAAGACUGGGCGGGAUUUUGAAGACCUAGGUCUUGUGGAUGGUGAACUCACUUGGGGCGGGGAGGGAGGUGGGGCUACCCUGGGGUCUUGGGCAAAGUCCUCGCCUGGCCGGCUUCGCUACCCUUGUGCUUGCGUUGCCCACAAGCUUGUAGUCAGAAGAACUCGCCUGGGAGGGAUCGCUCCUGGGAGAUCCGAACGCGGGAGGGCCUGGAGCGCGGCGGCAGCUGGAUAGCAUUCGGGCCCAUCCGAAUAAGCGGAGCCUGGAUGGCCAUCUUUCUUCUGAUAGCAAUAAGCUGGAUGCUGGGAUAGAAGCCUGAUACCUCCUCCAACCCUAGUCCUUGGCCUCUAGUUUACUCGCCUGAGGCAAGGGUAGAGUGGAGGAAGAUUUAGGGAAAGCAAGUAGUCCGUUUUAUUGUUACGGACCAGAGAGGUUGGGGGUGCAGAUGAAACCAACAUCUGGUUGGCCGGGCACGGUGGCUCACACCUGUAAUCCCAGCACUUUGGGAGGCCGAGGCGGGCGGAUCAUGAAGUCAGGAGAUCGAGACCAUCCUAGCUAACACGGUGAAACCCCGUCUCUACUAAAAACACAAAAAAUUUGCCGGGCGUGGUGGCGGGAGCCUGUAGUCUCAGUUACUCAGGAGGCUGAGACAGGAGAAUGGCAUGAACCCGGGAGGCAGAGGUUGCAGUGAGCCGAGAUCGCGCCACUGCACUCCAGCCUGGGUGACAGAGCGAGACUCCAUCUCAAAAAAAAUAAAUAAAUAAAAAUAAAAAAAAUAAAAAAUAAAAAAUUCAUUUGCAGGAA